GAAAAACAAUUCCAGGUCGCUGCGCCCUUUUCCAAGCGCUGAUGGAACAUUCAUCUCAUUGAGGGAUAAACACGGCGAGUUCUCUUCUGCUGCACUUCUUUUUAUGCGCGCUCCAUUCUCAGGGAGCGAGCACGUGCGUGUGUGCGUGUGCGUGUGCAUGUGUGUGUGUGUGUUCAGUGCUAACUCCUCUUCUCAGUUCUUCCUCCAGUGCCUAAAACGCGAAACGGGGAACUCAAGUCGCUCACCGCGGCCUUGACGAGGCAGGCGUCCUCUCCCAGGUAGCACAGCUCGCCCGAGCAGCUGGUCUCCAUCCACAGGUGGUCCCCGUUGACCGCGUUCUCCUGCCGGGCGAGGUCAGGAGGAUAGAUCAGCCAGUGGCAAAUUAAUCAUGACAAUUAUACCCGCUCCCCUCGGGCAGGAGGCUCCGGAGCAUCCGAUGCAGGACCACCGGGCUGAGGAACAGCUUCGUUACGGAAGGGCGCUAAAGGCCGGCGGUGGCGGAAGGAAACCUCUCUGCGGUCAGAGCCACAGGAGAGUGUCGGAUGAGUGUCGAUUUGCACCUGCCAAAGAAUCAAUCACGCGGUACGAGUGACUCCAUACGUGACGAAUGACUUCACAGCGAGCGGCAGUUCGGCACACUGAACAAUCCUUCCAAUAAUGAGGCUUCAAGCUGUUUAUUGCCACUCCCAGUUGCAGUUUACUGGCAAAUUAAACAUGAAAACAAAGCUUUUUACACGUUUGUUUAUCUUCAU